rnacentral:rRNA from 1 species
CUACGGGUCGCAGCAGUGAGGAAUAUUGUACAAUGGGGGGAACCCUGAUGCAGCAACGCCGCGUGGAGGAUGACGCAUUUCGGUGUGUAAACUCCUUUUAUAUGUCAAGAAAAUGACGGUAGCAUAUGAAUAAGCACCGGCUAACUCCGUGCCAGCAGCCGCGGUAAUACGGAGGGUGCAAGCGUUACUCGGAAUCACUGGGCGUAAAGGACGCGUAGGCGGGCUUGUAAGUCAGGUGUGAAAUCCUACAGCUUAACUGUAGAACUGCACUUGAAACUACGAGCCUAGAGUAUGGGAGGGGCAGAUGGAAUUAGUGGUGUAGGGGUAAAAUCCGUAGAUAUCACUAGGAAUACCUAAAGCGAAGGCGAUCUGCUGGAACAUAACUGACGCUAAGGCGUGAAAGCGUGGGGAGCAAACAGGAUUAGAUACCCUCGUAGUC